CCCAGUCUGGCCGGAGUUGGCUGGAGCUGUUGCCAUGACAAGCAUUUUCUUAAGACAGCUCUGCUGUUGAGUCGGUCCUAGGCUGGGGGUGGGGUGGGGGCACGAACUUCUUAGGGGUCCAUCCCUCCGAAGACAGCGAGAUCAGACACCCGCCCAGCUCCCUGCACCCAUUUUCUUCCAGGGAAGGUCCUUCUUCGCAAGGAAGGGUUGGGGAAGAAGACCCAGCCCACUCCCCCCGGCUGUAGCUGAAAGGCCAGAGCGCAAAGCCAGCAUCACUAGGUGGUUUGCCACAGUGGGGAGAGCGGUGGGUGGUCACCCCACCCUACUCGGUCGGUCCAUGGAAACGCGCAGGGACGGUCCCGCUCGGAGACACCUGGAUCUUUGCUAGAAAGAGAGGUCAGCUGCCAGCUGCUACUGGAAUGGAGCAGACCACUGGAUACACAGCUGGGAGAGUCUAGGCUGGAAUCUGCCUUGCUUUCUCUGGUACACACUCUCAAGCGAUCUCAGCUGGAACAUAGCGGCCACUGGGCCAAGGUAAUGCAUGAGUCACUUUUGCCUUCCUUGCUCUGGAAGGGGCUUUGGCAUUAAAUGCAUCUUGUUCUCACUUCCUGUGGGCAGCUCCAGGGCUCCCGGCUCUGAGUGGAGGAAAUUCUACAGUCCGUGGGGAUAGCAUCUGGCACUGGAGAUGCCUUCAGGGGAAGUGACUUAUGGAUGCAGAUGUGAAUAUUAGCUAAGAGUUCACUGGCUAACGGCACUGCAGUUGCUGGGGUAUCCUGCUCUCAGCAAGCCUGGGAGCCAGCCUGUGGGCUCCUUCAAGGGAGGAGUGAUGCUUUCGUCAUCUCUGUCGCCGGGAUUAAAUAUAGCAUAAACAUUGCCUCAUCUCGUGAUCAGUGGAGGAUGCAUGGAUGGAUGAAUCGAUGAAUUAACAAAUAAAAGCUUUCUUUAAAGUUCAGUCAAGACCAUAGUAAAUUUACCCGUUUCCUCUCCAGAGCCAGCAUUUCUGCUUAGUAGCUCGUCAUACUAUGUCUGAACAAUUGCUAGCAAAGGCCUCUGAAUGACAGACAGAAUGUUCUAGAGCUGGGGCCACUUAAACUUUUCCCAAUUAUGACCCCCUUUUGCCCAAGAAAUUGCCAUAGGGGCCCAGGUAUAUAGGUGUGUAAAAUAAGUAUACAGAUCAUUUAUGGAUUAGUAAAUGAUAAAGGAAUUCAUUUUAAAAUCAAUGCUGCUUAGAACACUUAUAAUUUUACCAUUUGUGGAAAAGAAAAGCAAAUUUUCCUGCUAAUGCGACCUGCUUGUUUAUUUUUAGAUAAAGAAGUCUUGGCUGCUGAUUUGAUUCUAGAGAGUGUUGAAUAUCUUCAAGGGUUUUCAGAACUGACUAAUAUUUUGAUUUUAUAAUUGUCAAUUCUGAGAAUGCCGCUUCUUAUAAAUACAAAACACAAAAUGGCAGAAAUAUGUCUAGAGCCAUUUGAGAAAUUAUUGCAAAUUCCUUCAAGCACGAACAAAAUUCAACUUAUCUAUCUCUUUAACGCUUAUUCGUGUAUUUAUUUUGUGUCUGUGCUGAAGAGAUGGGGGUGGGUGGUGGUCCCACAGUGCACGUGUGGAGACUGGAGGGUGACUUGAGGCUGUCUCUCCUUCACCAUGUGGGUCCUGGGGAUCAAACCAGGGCCAAACUCUGAACACCAGGCUUAGCAGCCAAUGCUCUUGAGCCACACGUUGGGCCAUCUCAUUGGCCCACAACAGUUUCGUUUUUUGUAAAUGAAACUCAAGUCAGCAAG
ensembl:lncRNA